GGCACUAGCCAGGCGUCAGAGAACAUUUCGGGAGUGCAGUGUUAUGUGUUUCACUGGAACGGGGCUGCACGAGGACAUACCCGAUCAAAGCUCUUCCAUGGAUGGCUUCCAGACCGUUCAGGCUGACCGGAAGUGCACUGAGAGCGAUUCCACUUCCAUGUAUGAAGGAAAACUGGGUGAGACAGCAGAUGGAUGCCAAAAUCCAGCAGAUUGCCAGCAAGGAUUUGUGAAAAUCAAAAAAACUGCAGACCCAAUUUAAGUUGAAAUGUCAAAGAAAAGGAAAUAUGCUGAAAACUAUGUAUUAUAUGGUUUCAAAUGCACGAAUGGAUGUGACAGGACACAAAAGCCCCAGUGUUUUUUUGUGUGGAAAAUUUCUUGUGAACGGAAGUCUGAAGCCAGCAAAGUUGAAAGAGCACCUCGUACCUGUCCAUCCUGAAAAUGCACCUAAAGAUGAAGGUUUGUCUUGUGCAAAGAAAGCUCAAUUCGAAAAAGUUGGGACACUUCCAAAACUUGCAUUUGCCAUUUCACAAAAAACUUUUCUUGAAGCAUCUAAUAAAGUAGC